GAGUGUGUGCUGUGACAGCAUUGCCGUGCAUGACCGGGGGGCUGUGACAGUUAACCUUCGCGGCUGCGGCUUCCUUUUGGGCCGGUUUUUUCUCUUUUAUUUAUUGGUGGUCCUGCAUAAGUCUCAGACGCCUGUACAUAUGUAAAGGCAGGCAUGUCCGCGUAGGUCGUCACGUCUAGAAGAUGAAGAUAUAGUAAACUCGACUAUUGUUUGCAAAAAAAUGAAACUGGCGCAACGACCUAUGCAGUCCUGCAAAGGCUUUCGAAGCCUAUUGAGUACCACGCAGCCGGAUAGUCAGUUGAAGCUGCGGGAGGACGGUUCAUAUAGCGCUUGAACCUACAAAGAGCAUGUUGUUUAAGCAUAUCUGCUACACAUAACGCACAAUAUUCACUACACGCUGGAAUCACGAGAUACGACUUAUACGGAAAUUCAACAUACGCGGUAUUUUGCAGCAGUUUUCGGUCCCCAUUAACCGUGUAUCUCGGGGACCGUCUGUACAUGGAAGUCCAAAACAGGAACUUAGCGACAAGAACCAUCGUUCUUGUCAACAAAAGACAAACGGAACUAACUUGGUGAGAGCAAUAACAUUGAAUCAUUCAACCCGGGACCAAAUGUACGAAACCCAUAACUUGUUUUGAGGAUAAAUAAAACCAACUUCAACCAUGGCAGGACUGUACCCUUCUUACAUCUAUUGACUUCCCAUUUCAAGAGUUUGUAUGUGUCCCUCUACCCUAAGGUAAGGCUUUUAAACUGCAACGUUUUCAGUAGGAGAAACCCCUUAAGGGUUUCUAAUAUCGUUGGCACGAUCAAAUGCCGAAGAGUUCGCUUUGAAA